GCGGGUAUCGUAUAAUGGCUAUUACAUUGCCUUGCCAAGGCAGAGACACGAGUUCGACUCUCGUUACCCGCUCCA
rnacentral:tRNA from 1 species